GACGUAGGGGACGAGCGUUGUCCGGAUUCAUUGGGCGUAAAGCGCGCGUAGGCGGUUUGGUAGGUCUGCUGUGAAAACUCGAGGCUCAACCUCGAGAUGUCGGCGGAAACCAUCUGGCUAGAGUCCGGAAGAGGAGAGUGGAAUUCCUGGUGUAGCGGUGAAAUGCGCAGAUAUCAGGAAGAACACCUAUGGCGAAGGCAGCUCUCUGGGACGGUACUGACGCUGAGACGCGAAAGCGUGGGGAGCGAACAGG
rnacentral:rRNA from 1 species